AAAAAUUUAGUUAAACUAUAACGUUAGCCUGUCAAGCUAAAAUUGAUAUCCAUCAAUUUUUA
rnacentral:tRNA from 1 species